CCUACGGGUGGCAGCAGUGAGGAAUAUUGGUCAAUGGUCGGGAGACUGAACCAGCCAAGCCGCGUGAGGGAUGAAGGUACAGAGUAUCGUAAACCUCUUUUGUCAGGGAACAAAGGCGGGGACGUGUCCCCGGAUUCGUGUACCUGAAGAAAAAGCAUCGGCUAACUCCGUGCCAGCAGCCGCGGUAAUACGGAGGAUGCGAGCGUUGUUCGGAAUGACUGGGCGUAAGGGGUGUGUAGGUGGUUUGAUAAGUUAGAUGUGUAAUACCCAGGGCUUAACUCGGGUGCUGCAUCUAAAACUGUUAGACUUGAGUACUGGAGAGGAUAGUGGAAUGCCUAGUGUAGCGGUGGAAUGCGUAGAUAUUAGGAGGAACAUCAGUGGCGAAGGCGACUAUCUGGACAGCAACUGACACUGAGGCACGAAAGCGUGGGGAGCAAACAGGAUUAGAUACCCGUGUAGUC
rnacentral:rRNA from 1 species